AUUGAACGCUGGCGGCAGGCUUAACACAUGCAAGUCGAGCGGGGUAAUGGUGCUUGCACUAUCACUUAGCGGCGGACGGGUGAGUAAUGCUUAGGAAUCUGCCUAUUAGUGGGGGACAACAUCUCGAAAGGGAUGCUAAUACCGCAUACGUCCUACGGGAGAAAGCAGGGGAUCACUUGUGACCUUGCGCUAAUAGAUGAGCCUAAGUCGGAUUAGCUAGUUGGUGGGGUAAAGGCCUACCAAGGCGACGAUCUGUAGCGGGUCUGAGAGGAUGGUCCGCCACACUGGGACUGAGACACGGCCCAGACUCCUACGGGAGGCAGCAGUGGGGAAUAUUGGACAAUGGGGGGAACCCUGAUCCAGCCAUGCCGCGUGUGUGAAGAAGGCCUUAUGGUUGUAAAGCACUUUAAGCGAGGAGGAGGCUCUUUUGGUUAAUACCCAAGAUGAGUGGACGUUACUCGCAGAAUAAGCACCGGCUAACUCUGUGCCAGCAGCCGCCGUAA
rnacentral:rRNA from 1 species